UACAGAGGUCUCAAGCGUUGUUCGGAUUCAUUGGGCGUAAAGGGCGCGUAGGCGGCGCGGUAAGUCGGGUGUGAAAUCUCGGGGCUUAACUCCGAAACUGCAUUCGAUACUGCCGUGCUUGAGGACUGGAGAGGAGACUGGAAUUUACGGUGUAGCAGUGAAAUGCGUAGAUAUCGUAAGGAAGACCAGUGGCGAAGGCGGGUCUCUGGACAGUUCCUGACGCUGAGACACGAAGGCCAGGGGAGCAAACGGG
rnacentral:rRNA from 1 species